ACCCUCUCAGGAUGGCACCUAGAGAGUUUCCAGUCCUCUACCAGUCUCGGCUACAGGAGGGAGAAUCAAGCAGAGGCCUACCCAUUCCAUUCCUAGCUUGGCCAGUGGCUAGCGAGUGGAAGGCAAUCUGCUACGAGU